AGAUUGAACGCUGGCGGCAUGCCUUACACAUGCAAGUCGAACGCGAAAGCGGGGGCAACCCCGCCGGUAGAGUGGCGGACGGGUGAGUAAUACAUCGGAACGUGCCCAGGAGUGGGGGAUAGCCCGGCGAAAGCCGGAUUAAUACCGCAUACGUCCUAUGGGAGAAAGCGGGGGACCUUUCGGGGGCCUCGCGCUCAUGGAGCGGCCGAUGUCGGAUUAGCUAGUUGGUGGGGUAAGAGCUCACCAAGGCGGCGAUCCGUAGCUGGUCUGAGAGGAUGAUCAGCCACACUGGGACUGAGACACGGCCCAGACUCCUACGGGAGGCAGCAGUGGGGAAUUUGGACAAUGGGGGCAACCCUGAUCCAGCCAUGCCGCGUGAGUGAAGAGGCCUGGGUUGUAAAGCUCUUCGGCCGAACGAAUCGCAACGUUGAAUAGGCGUUGUGAUGACGGUACCGGAAUAAGAAGCGACCGGCUAACUACGUGCCAGCAGCCGACGUAUCGUGA
rnacentral:rRNA from 1 species